UACGUAGGGAGCAAGCGUUGUCCGGAAUCAUUUGGGCGUAAAGCGCGCGUAGGCGGCCUCGUAAGUCCGUUGUGAAAGUCAAAGGCUCAACCUUUGAAAGCCGAUGGAUACUGUGAGGCUAGAGUCCGGAAGAGGCGAGUGGAAUUCCUGGUGUAGCGGUGGAAUGCGCAGAUAUCAGGAGGAACACCAAUAGCGAAGGCAGCUCGCUGGGACGGUACUGACGCUAAGGCGCGAAAGCGUGGGGAGCGAACAGG
rnacentral:rRNA from 1 species